GAGAGGAGGAACUCCCUAUAUCAGCAAGCAGCUGAGGGGCGGGAUUCUGGGGAGGCCAGGUUCAGUUCAUCCCCUACUCUCCUAGCCUCUAGCAAGAGCUGAAGAUGACAUAGGGUUGUGUGCUUUGGAGUCAGAAAGACCUGGAUUCGAACCCUGCCUCCCCGCUCUCCACAUGCUUCCUACCUUUGUGACCUUGAGCAGGUUACUUAACCUCUCUGAGUUUUUAUUUUCUGAGGAACACAAACUUCCGAACUUUCCAGUCCUUCAUCAGCGCUGGAUGCACGUCAGACUAUUCUGCGUCAUACAUCAAGCCCUCAGAUGACCAUUAAAUGACCUCAAGAAGAAACCAUUCCCUUGUCCAGACCACCAGAUAUCUGAAGAUUACCAUUUUGGACCAAUCCAGGAGCUAAGAAUGCAGGACUGAUUCUUCUCAAGAAGAUCAGUUCUAUGGAACGUGGCAGAAGACUACACAGUGGUGCAAAUACCAGGAGGCAGGGGGCUCCCUCGGGGCUAGCCGACUACCAGCAAGCCAUCUCAUCCUCCCAUUGCCCCACCUCUGGAGUACAACAUGUUCAUCGCCUGUGCUUUCAUCCCGGCAGAAGGCUUGCAACCCGAAGUUCCUCAUUUGAACAGCACCAAAGCAAAGUCUGUAAAUUUACCUUCAAAGAGGGAAACGGCCCUUCUUACUCUAAAGUCAAUCCCUCCACCACACCUACAGCUUCUUCCCUCCCAGUUCACGUGUUCCCAGGGAGCUUGCUGUUGGGCAGGUUCAAUCUAGGGAAAACCCCUCUGCCGGCCCUUUACCUCCACCCUCCUCUGCCUGGCUGACUAAUGCCUCCCUGGACUUCCAUAUCUCCUGGAGAACAUCUGUUUACCGUGGACUUUGGACAUGACAUCUGACUCAACCCUCUGGUGUUUAUGUGCUUUUCAUUUCUCUGACUUAGCAUAGCUGACUCACUGCUGCCUUGUGUAUGUUUUGCUUCCCUUUUCAACUGGUGGUGGUUCAAGUAAUCUCGUAGCCUCAUAUGCUAAUAUGCCCUAGAAACUGCAGCUUUGCACUCUCCCGAGAUUUAUGUCUUUGAAAUGUUCACAUAUGCCCAGAUCUUCCAGUAAAACAUUAAUACACAAGCAAGCAAACAAACAAAAAAAAACCCUCUCUCUGCCUGAAUGAUUCCUCUUCCUUUUUCUUCUCUCUUCUCCUUUCCUUGUCAAUCUUCUAAAAUGAGUGACUCAUUUUGAUUUUAUACCUUACAAUUCUGAACAAACCUGCUGUACCAAGGGAGCUGGAAUAUAAGACUGUCUACAGGAGAAUUUAUUGACAUAGGAGUGCUCUCACAGGUUCUGAGCUUUAGCAUCCUGUGAAGAACCAGAGGAUGGCGCAAAUCUGUUGCUGGGUGGCUCCUGGAAAAUUGAUGGCCUACAAAGAAUGAGGUUGGAAUGCCUAAAUUUCUGGGGCAGACAGUAAAGAAAGGAUAAAAGAUUCAGCAAAGUGGAUAUGCUGGAAAGAUACAUGAUGUUAAGGCCAGAAGGCUCACGAGAGCAUUAGGCUCCACAGCUAUUAGUGCCACUCUUAAAUAUAAAAAUGAUGAAGAAAUGUUGUCCUGUAUCUCUGUAUAACUAGCCAGUGUUGACCUUGCAGCAACUGGAUGGGUCCUAGAGAAUCACUGCAGACUACUGCAAGAAGUGCAACCCCUCUACACCUGCUGUGCCUGCUGUAGUGGCUUGGCUAGCUUGGAGUUACGCAGCCUCAGCUACGUGGUUGGCAGCCGUCGAUUUGGCGAAUGCUUUCUUUUCUAUCCCAAUCAGGAAAGAGGAUCAGAAAUAGUUCAUAUUCACACAGAAUGAGUACCAACAAGCAUUUAGAGUUUUGCCACAGUUUUGUGUUCACUCUUCAGUCC